AGAGUUUGAUCCUGGCUCAGAUUGAACGCUGGCGGCAUGCCUUACACAUGCAAGUCGAACGGUAGAGGGGCAACCCUUGAGAGUGGCGAACGGGUGAGUAAUAUAUCGGAACGUGCCCAGUCGUGGGGGAUAACGCAGCGAAAGCUGCGCUAAUACCGCAUACGAUCUAUGGACGAAAGCGGGGGAUCGCAAGACCUCGCGCGAUUGGAGCGGCCGAUAUCAGAUUAGGUAGUUGGUGGGGUAAAAGCCCACCAAGCCGACGAUCUGUAGCUGGUCUGAGAGGACGACCAGCCACACUGGGACUGAGACACGGCCCAGACUCCUACGGGAGGCAGCAGUGGGGAAUUUUGGACAAUGGGCGCAAGCCUGAUCCAGCAAUGCCGCGUGCAGGACGAAGGCCUUCGGGUUGUAAACUGCUUUUGUACGGAGCGAAACGGUCUGGGUUAAUACCCUGGGCUAAUGACGGUACCGUAAGAAUAAGCACCGGCUAACUACGUGCCAGCAGCCGCGGUAAUUC
rnacentral:rRNA from 1 species